UGCGAUCGCGCGUCGACAUCGGACGCUAUGGCACACUCGUGCCUUCUGUGCCACCGAAGCCCCGAAGUGCCCAGGCAUAUACCUUCACAUGUAAGUAAACGAAUGUAUCUCCUUGUUGAGAAUAUCACGCGAGUAGGCAGCUCUUGUGGGGCAUCACAAUCGUUUGAGAAGCGUCACAGUAGAGCAUUUUUCUACAUGCGGAGCGGCGUUUUUGUUUGCAGGUUUCCCUUCAGUAGGAAAUUGCUGGACAGGCGGACCAGCGCACCGGAAUUGUACUGGCGAAGCCACAAGCAACUCCAAGAAUCUGUUUAAUUGUUGCACUUUCAACAAUCAUGCUUCUACAAAGGCCACAGCAGAAAAACAGCCUGAUGCCGAGUAUUUCUGUGCCACGAAGUAAUCAAGAGGCGAGUGCCUAAUGCGGACGAAAUCGAGUGCAUCGAGACUUAGAACGACAGAAAGCUGAGCUAGUUGGUAAGGAUUCAUUAUGCAAAACAGAGGUGAGGCGUGCAGACAGGACACAAGAGUAGAGAAGUGGGCGGCGCUCGUGUUGCAUGUUUGCUUGUAAAUACUCUAUUCUUGUGUCCUGUCUGCACGCCUCACCUCCGUUUUGCAUAACGAGUGUAUCAACCCACAUAUUAAUAGCGUAGGCGUUUUAUUAACUGUGCAAUAUUUUCAACACUUCCUUGCAUGCCAUUUCAUGUGGAAUAUCUUUUUUGGUCACAAAUUUGUGCAGCGAAUCUAUUUGCAUGAUCGACUUCGGGCCUGUAGGUCCGUUCACUUGCACUUGAUGCUGAGUCUAUUACAUGUAUCCAUAAACUGCAGAUAUGCACAUCAGAUCCCUGCGAGCAUUUUCAAAAUUCAGUUAUUUUAGACAACAGGCACAUAUGCAAUACUGACAUAAUCUCAAAUACCACUAAGCAGCUGGGACACAUUUUUGUUGACCAUACUCGCAGGUAAAAUAAGUAGAUUAUGUGGACAGCUCCAGCUCAUUUUCCUUAAAUCAGUGUGUACAAGGGGUAUGCAAAAAUAAUUUUUUUUCUCGCGCACCGAUUCUUUUGCUGUAUAAGCAAGAGAACCCACCACGUUAGUGUAACGUAUCUUGUACAUCACACUAAUAAGUGCUUUAAUUUACCAAGUGAGAUGAGUUACUUUUAUGGAUCAUUCAGUCAUAUCACACUGCAAGCUGCAUUCAUCAAUCUUCAAUUGGAUUUCGCAUGAAACAUGUUUCCCUUUUAUGCAGAUAUGCAAUGGCAAGCCCUUCCGUGUGUUCCAAAGGUAAAAUUUAAGCUCGAAAUUAAAGAAGACAUUUCUAGUCAGAAACAAGCCAAAAUGGUGAAUGCAGAGUAUCAGAAGCCCAAGGUACAGAAAUUAUGAGAAGUGUCGAAUGAUUUUAAGGAAAGAAUGGUAUUUGAAGAUGCAAGAUUCUUUAGUGGAAAUCAAGCAAGUCAGUAUAGGUAGAAUACUCUGAGAAAUUAUGCGAGUAAUGGGAUAGCACACGAUGGGUCAGGAAAUGCGUUGUUUUUCUGAAAAACUAAAGCUGAUGACUGUCAUAUCAUGAGUCACUUUAGCAUCAUGAGACUGCUGUUUGACAAAUUCAGAAAAAAAAAAACUAUUUAAUGAUUCUCUCUCCACACUGGCAUAAAUAAUAAGAAACGGAUCACGUCUAAUGUGGACAUAUCAGACACCUUGUGAAAUACUAAAGGAAAAAUUCAGUUUCGAGCUAUGGCACUUGCCGCAUAGAUGUGGGGGGCCUUGCAGCAAUAGUAAUCGUUACCACUGCAUCUAAAAAUUUAAAGCAGUCAUGCAGACAAGGAUGAUUCUUUAUAUUUUUGGCUACCACUUCAAAUGCCUCCACUAUAAGUGUUACAAUGCUGCAUGCAGCCAUACUAAGGAUCUCACAGCAACACUUGCAGGUAAACAGCAAAAGCAGUCAAAGUGCUGGUGUAUUCUGGACACUGUCUUUGAAAACUUUUAGGCAAGAACAGUGCAAGAAACAGACAUAAGAACUGCAUUUAUUUCUAUAAUUCCCCAUUUGAAUGGCCUUUUCUUUUUCCUUCGACAAUGCCUUCGCCUAGCCACAGCAGCUCCCUCAUACAGACUCCGCAAGCCAAGAGGCCGUGGAGGCAAAUGCAGACAGCCAGCACACCUCAAACAGCCACCUUGACUGCAGGUGUGUCACCCUAGUCGCCAAGGAAACAUUUGAGGGAAAGCGACAGGCAAUGUGAACAGCCACUUCUCCAUGUAAACGAUACUCUUUCUCUCGGAUGACUCCUACAUUCGCCACGCCAGCACACUUGUGCACUAAGAUGCCGCGGAGGCACGUGCAGGUCAGAGGCAAGAAGCAGUGGCACUGGUGUCGACAUUCGCCCAAUUUUUUUUUUCUUACACUGAGGCAGCCAGCACACCUCGAACAGCCACCUUAACUGCGGGUGUGUUAGUAGAUUCCUGUUGUACAUAUGCUCAUAAUAAACUUCAGUAAACUUGAACUUGAUAAUAAACUUGAAGGCAAAUGGGA